GGUUUAUUGAUGGCACAUGGCAACCACUAGAAGAAGAAGAAAGUAAUCUGAUAGAAGAGGAACAUCUCCGCUGUUUCAAGGGGCAACAGAUGCAGAACUUUGACACAAAUGUCUCAAAACCUAUAGAUAGGAAAGAGGGUGAAUUGGUAAAAUACAAGGCUGUAUUAAGUAAAGUGUCAGGGUUCCAAGUAACACCCCCAACGAAAGAAAACUCCGAGGCUUGUUUUGCUUGUAAAACCUAGUUUAGAAGAGCAUAACUUUUGUCUAGCCUGGAAACAAAUCCUGCUUCCAGGACUUCUGGAUUUAUACACAUCUGGGGCUUGUCAACUAUCUACCUACCUUCUCCCUCCAUUCUCUGUUCAAAUGGAGAGGAUAUAAGGAGAAUGCAGAGGCAACAGGGGUUAAACGCAAGUGGUCUGAAG